UGCAUCGGCUGGGAAUCGAACCUGGGUCACCCGCGUGGCAGGUGAGCAUUCUACCACUGAACCACCGAUGG
rnacentral:tRNA from 1 species